GCAUUAAUGGGGUAGUGGUAACCUGGGUCGUUGCCAUCUCGAUGGAAUUGUAUCGACCCGCCGGGGGUUCGAUUCCCCCUUAAUGCA